GAUGAAGAACGUAGCGAAAUGCGAUACUUGGUGUGAAUUGCAGAAUCCCGUGAACCAUCGAGUUUUUGAACGCAAGUUGCGCCCGAAGCCGUUAGGCCGAGGGCACGCCUGCCUGGGUGUCACACAUCGUUGCCCCAAUGCCAAUCGCCUCACUUUGUAGGUAUUUGCUUGGGGUGAAUGUUGGCUUCCCGCGAGCGAUGGCCCUCACGGUUGGCUGAAAAUCGAGUCCGUGGUGGAGUGUGCCGCGAUGGAUGGUGGUUGAGUAAAAGCUCGAGACCGAUCGUGUGUGUCGCCCCUACCGGAUUUGGGACUCCAUGACCCACGAGCGGCCGUUGGCCGCCCACGACGGGACCUCAGGUCAGGCGGGGCUACCCGCUGAGUUUAAGCAUAUCAAUAAGCGGAGGA
rnacentral:misc_RNA from 1 species